rnacentral:lncRNA from 1 species
CCCUGCUCUCCCGCGAGGGCCGGGAGGGCUCCGGGACCUUGCAGACUCCACGCGCCUCACGGCUCCUCCAGCUCCUCGGAUCUUUCUCCUUGCGUCGCCGCCGAGUCCCCUGGGGCGGCCCCGCCUCCGGCCGUCUCCUCAGAGACCUUCCCUGGGGGGCGCCUUCCCCUCAGCGCCCCUUCCCGGGCCUCGAGCCAGCGGCUGCCGCAGGAGCUGGCCCCGGGGCGAGGAGCUUCAGAUUCAGGUCCCUAGCCGGCCUCGGUAAGGAGACUGGAAGGAUUCUCCGCGAAUGCUCAUUUUUAUUUCUGGAGUGGCGUCGGAGUUACCAAUUAGUUUUCUUAUUUUAUACUCUCUGGAGUUGCCAAAUUCUUUACGUUGAGCUUUUGCUUAUUUUAUAAUCAGAAAGACAAGUACGUUUCUUUUUCCAAGAAUGCUUACAGGAGGCCACAAACAAGAUGUUCGCACCCAGCCCACUGUCUUCCGCUUAAAAAUAUGUGUGAGAUGUUGUGUUUAAGACACCCUCAAGGAGAAACAUAGAGGGGAGACCUGGAAAUGGUCUUGGGAAUCCACUUAGACUUUCCAUAUUAUAUUUGUUUCAUUUAUUUUAAAAUCUCAGACCUAUUUAUGUGCAUUAGGACAUUCCACAUUUUUACAACUGCGCAGAGGAAAUCUUUGGUUGUAGAGGACGGGAAGAGAGAGGCCAGGUCCGCAGACCCCACUGUGACAAGACAGUGGCUACAUUCUUAACUGUUUUACACAUUGUGAUACCCAAAGACUUCUUUUCACAGGAUUCUACUGAGGGGGAAAACAAGAGGAAGAAAGAAAGAUAGACAAGGUUUUCCUCAAGGCAGUAAGCAAAAAGCUGGUUUCUCAGAAGAAAGAAUUAUGUCUGAGAUUUUACCCAGGACUCUCCAGAUCUCUCAUUCUACACAGAAGGACCCUUUCAUUUGGAACGUGCAGAAACUGAGGAGGACCAUCUCUCUCCUCCAUGGGGGCUGCCUGAGUUAAAAAGGCCUGGGUCCAUCUUUUUUCCGUAGGAGAGCUGACUUCAGAGUCUAGAGCCAAAUCUUCACUUCUGUGGCUCUAGAUUGAGGAUUUGCCCUUCUGAUCUCUGUGGGGCUUUUUUUUUUUAACCUGGGAAUUCCCCUGGGCUCUUCGGCUGUUAUUCUCAUCAACCCCUCUCUAUAUUCUGCAAGACAUUGAAAUCUUUCUCCCAGCUUGGCCCCCACCUCCAAUCCCAGUAUUCUCUUUUCUGAGAUUGGAGUAUUUCCAACCCCUCAGUUGCCAGGCACUGAAGGUUUUCAUCUUCCAGGCCUGCCAUGUUUACCUCUGAGAUGUUUCUGGCAACUGUCCACUUCUCUGCAUUCUCACACUGCUGCUCUUGAUAAGCUUCGAUUAUCUGGGGCUGAAUUGUUUCAAUAAUUUCCUAACUGAUUUUCUUGCCUCCUAUCUGUCCCCACCACCAACAUAGACUUAAGAAUGUCACUCUCUUGACAAAACAAGCCAACAUCCUCUAUCCUCUGUCCCACUCCCAAACCUGCAGUAACUUUCCUGUGCAAUUGUAAUACAGUGUAAACUUUCAUAAGGAUGGGGAGUGGCCAAGAUGGCUGACCAGAAGCAGGUAAUGUACAUGGCUCUCACGGAGAGGAACAGAAGGGACGAGUAGAUACAACACCUUCAACUGAAACAUCCGGGUACUCGCAUUGGGAUUAAUCAAGGAAACAACCUGACCCACAGAGAACAAGGAAAAGCAAGACAGGACAACAGCCCACCUGGGAGCAACAGGGAACCAGGGGAUCUUCCCCUGCCCAGGGAAGUGGUGGGACCUCCCAACCAGGGUCUUCAGCCACUUCCUACAGGUGCCUUUGGGCCAGCAACAGGUCCAUACCUCCCUGGGACAAAGCUCCCAGGGGGAGGGACAGGCUGCCAUAUUUGCUGUAUCAUAACCUUCACUGGUGACACCUCCAAGUUCUGGAAAAUCUGAGGUGACUAGGGACUGGAGCAGGCCCUAAGCAUACCAGAGCAGCCCUGUAGAAAAGUGGCCAGACUGUUUCAUGGGUGCCUAUUCCCAUAUCUCCUCACUGGCAGGUCCUCCAGGCCUCGGCCUCCAGCCACUCCCCACCAGAGCUAUCCAGCCAAUACCAACUCAGCGACUUCCAGGACAGUGCCUCCAGGGGCAAUUGAAAGGGUCUUAGCCACUGCCUCUGCUGUGGAACUCCCCUUGCCACCCUUGGACUAAAGAAGGAGCAAAGACCCUAAGUGCCUUUUCCAUACCAACAAGCUGCAGUAGACCCAAGGAAAGGAGACCAGUCCAUCUCCCAUGUGUUCCACACUGCUCACUGGACAGGCAACCCCUGGCUUGGGUCCAAAGCACGAACCCUCCUUCUUGGGCUGAUUGCACUGAGCAAUUGGUAACCUGCAUUUUUCUGGGGGUAGAGCCCCCAGGAGUCAAGCAAAUGACUCUCGGCCACAGCACCUACUAAGAUGAGCCUCUGCUACUUCUAAGCUGGGGAAGGAACAUAAACACAGAUCACUCCAGAGCUGCAGUGGGCAGUCCAGGGGUGCUAAGUCGUGAACUACAGCCAGCACUCAAGGGGGAGAGGAACCCACACUUUCGGAGCACUGAGAGGGAACACAGCUGCAACUGUGAAGAAACAUACAGGAGCAGGAGUCUACCAAUUGACCAAUAAGCCUAAGUGUCACCUGCAGGAUCACACCCCAAAGCUUCAACACGAAAAAUAUUUCACUAACAUACACACCUCUGAAACCAGAGACAAGAAGUCAGCUUCAAAUAAAGACCCUAUAGAAAGCCUCAGCACAGUGAAAACAUCCAAAAAAGAAGUCUGUUGACUGUAGUCAAUCUACGUUGCAGUCAAAUGAACACCCACACACAGAGAUGAGAAAGAACCAAUGCAAGAACUCUGGUUACUCAAAUGGCCAGAGUAUCAUACGUCCUCCAAACGAUCACACCAGUUCUCCAGCAAGAGUUCUUAACCAGGCUGAACUGGCUGGAAUAACAGAAA